UUAACCAAAGACUGUAUAGGUGUGAACGCACUCCUCGCACUGUAUACUUAAAAAGGUCAUACAAUAGUGCAUAAGUAUGCGAUUUGAGACGAACCAAUCGGAGAACCGUUUCAACUGAUUCACUGAAAAGAACCGAUUCAAUCGAACGAUUCCUUCACGAUUCGGACGUCGCUGUCGUACGGUCAGUUUGUAAGCAGAGACAGGGAGAGAGGAGGAGGACGGGCAGCACUUAUCUACAGGCACGAUCGUCUCUGCAUCACUGACUGACCCGCCGCCCCUGAACACGGAUGUGCGAGCGUCGCGUCGUGCCACUGUCACAUCAUGUGUUGGCCAUCGUCUGUAACGACGAACGCGAUUUGAGACGCUGUUUCGCCGCAGCAGGGCCACAGAUAGACGGCUGAAGCGAGUAGCAGUGGCGUUAUCUCCUGGAGGCCCCAUUCCUACACACCAUAUACUGCAAUGACUGGCCACUGCCUGCCUCGAUCAUCCAACUCCUAGUUGUGCUGCACCUGAUUGGACGACUGCCUGCCUGAGAGCUGAUGGUUGCUCAGUUGCCAUGACUUAGAGACACUCCUGAUACAGAGAUGGAGAAAAAGAAACUGUGUCCCCGCCUCCUGGACUACCUAGUGGUAGUUGGAGCAAGGCAACCCAGCAGUGACAGCGUGGCACAAACACCUCAGCUGCUGAGGCGCUAUCCACUGGAGGACCACAAUGACUUCCCUCUGCCCCCUGACGUCGUCUUCUUCUGCCAGCCUGAGGGCUGCUUGAGCAUCCGCCAGCGCCGGGUCAGUCUUCGUGACGACACCUCUUUCGUCUUCACUCUUACCGACAAAGACUCAGGUAUCACUCGCUACGGAAUCUGCCUCAACUUUUACCGCUCUUUCCAGAAGGGCCACCACCGCCCACGAUCUGAAGGAAAAGGAGAAAAGGCUCCUCAUACAGAGGAGAAAUCGGACCCUUCCACAUUGACUCUUCCAGGGGAAUCUGCGCUGCCCCCUGCAGGAGAUGGGACUUUGCCACCAGGCGAGCCAGGCAGCAGUGGAAAGUCUCCACGAUCCAAACGCAGUGGUCGACUGGCACCACAGAACCGGAACAGCACGUUAACCUCUCUGUGCAUUCUGAGCCACUACCCCUUCUUUUCUACAUUCAGAGAGUGUCUGUACAUCCUCAAGCGCAUGGUGGACUGCUGUAGCCAGCGGCUCAACCAGAGACCCGCUGCUGCCAAGUCCACACAGCGGGACACAAUGUGGCGUGUGUUCACAGGGGCUCUCUCCGUCGAGGAAAAGGAAAAGGGCAGUCAGGUGCUUCAGGACCUGAGGGAGAUCGAGUCAUGGGUGUAUCGGCUGCUGCGCUCCCCUGUGCCUGUUGCUGGUCAGCGACGUGUUGAUGUGGAAGUGCUCCCCCAUGACCUGCAGCCUGCCCUGACCUUUGCCCUUCCAGACCCUUCCCGCUUCAGCAUUGUAGACUUCCCCCUCCACCUGCCCCUGGAGCUGCUGGGAGUUGAUGCUUGUCUGCAGGUCCUGGCCUGCAUUCUGCUGGAGCACAAGGUGGUAUUGCAGUCUCGAGAUUAUAACGCUCUCUCAAUGAGCGUCAUGGCAUUUGUUGCAAUGAUUUACCCCCUUGAGUACAUGUUUCCUGUCAUUCCACUGUUGCCCACCUGCAUGGCCUCCGCAGAACAGCUCCUGCUAGCACCUACUCCAUAUGUCAUUGGUGUGCCUGCCAGUUUCUUCCUGUACAAGUCUGAUUUUAAGAUGCCUGAUGAUGUUUGGUUAGUGGAUCUGGACUGCAAUAAGGUCAUUGCUCCAAGCAACGCAGAAUUUCUCCCUCCCCUUCCUGAACCUGAGGCCUCUGAGCUGAAGAAACAUUUAAAGCAGCUCUUGGAGUGUCUGGUAAGAUUGACUGUGAUAACCCAAAAGCAGAUCUUCGCCUCUGAUUCCAAGGCUCUGGCUAGCAUGAGUCUGAACACACAGCCUAUUCUAAACCUGGAGAAGUUUCAGGAUGGACAAGAGAUGUCUUUAUUGCCCCCUGGUCGUGACAAAGCCUCCCCUUCCUCCACUGAGUUCAACCCACUCAUAUAUGGCAAUGAUGUGGACUCAGUUGAUGUUGCCACAAGGGUGGCGAUGGUGAGGUUCUUCAACUCUCCAAAUGUGCUGCAAGGGUUCCAGAUGCACACUCGCACUCUGCGGCUCUUCCCCCGUCCUGUGGUGGCAUUCCAGGCCACGUCUUUCCUGGCCUCUAGGCCGCGGCGGAAUGGAUUCACCGAAAAGCUCUCCCACACCCAGGCAGUGGAGUACUAUGGAGAGUGGGCUCUCAGCCCCACCAACCUGGCUUUCCAAAGGAUUCAUAACAAUGUGUAUGACCCCUCUCUAAUAGGCGAUAAGCCUAAGUGGUAUGCCCACCAGUUACAGCCAGUAUUCUACCGUGUGUACGAUGGGAACUCUCAUCUGGCAGAGGCGCUGAGUGGACCCCUGCAGGAUGAGACAAUUGAUUCAGACCCAACAGAUGACAGUGGCAGUGACAGUGAAGCAUACGAUGACUCCAGCUCUUCCUACUCGUCUCUUGGAGACUUUGUGAAUGAGAUGAUCAAAGGGGAAAUACAAGGGGACACCCCAAAUGUUGACACCCUGACCCAUGCUGCGCUGGAAGACGUGAAUGAGGUAGAGAUUCAUGACUUCCAAGAGUAUAAGGGGGACAACGGUGACCCAGAUCCAGAAGGCCCCCUGGAAGCAGCGGACAGCCAGCCACUGCGCUCCAGCUCCAGCACGACGGCCAGUUCCAGCCCCAGUACAGUCAUACAGGGAGUCAACCAUGAACAGAAGGAACCCGCUGAGGUGGAGGCGACAGCAGGCAUAACCCUCCCUAACUCUGUCCCAGGAUUGGGAGCUCCACCUUUUACAAGACCCACCCCUGAUCCGGUCCCUGUUGACCCAUCCAAUAAAAGGCGAGACUAUGAUAACCCCUAUUUUGAGCCCCAGUAUGGCUUCCCUUCAGAGGAGGAUACUGAAGCAGAUGAGCAGGAGGAGAGUUACACACCGCGAUUCAACCAGAAUCUCAAUGGCAACAAACCGUCUCGUCCAUUGAGACCCAGCAGCCUGAAGCUACCGGGUGAAUCUGAUGGAGAGGGGGACUCCAGAAAUAGCUCUCCGAACUCCACCAUCUCCAACAACAGCACCGAUGGCUUCGGGGGACUCAUGUCCUUCGCCAGUAACCUGUAUAAAAACCAUGGCACCAGUUUCAGUCUGUCCAGUCUGGCUCUGCCUAAUAAAGCUCGAGAGAAGAACACGCCAUUCCCCAGCCUCAAAGACGAUGCUGAUGACAGUCCCGAGAGUCCUGGUUCUCGAGCCCCCAGAGCUCUGGUAGAUCAGAAACCCUCUGUCAUUAAGCACAGUCCCACCGUCAAAAGAGAGUCUCCAUCUCCUCAGGGCAGAUCCAACAACACCAGUGAGAACCAGCAGUUUCUCAAGGAGGUGGUCCAGAGCGUGCACGAUGGGCAGGGGGUGGGCUGGCUCAACAUGAAGAAAGUACGGCGCCUGCUGGAGAACGAACAGCUCAGAGUCUUUGUGCUCAGCAAACUCAACCGGUCGGUCCAAUCAGAAGAGGAUGCUCAGCAGGAAGUCAUAAGAGAUGUGGAGAUAAACAGGAAGGUGUACAAAGGCAUGUUGGACCUAUUGAAGUGCACAGUGUCCAGUUUGGAGCACUCAUACACUAAUGCUGGCCUGGGAGGCAUGGCCAGUGUCUUCAGUCUGCUAGAGAUAGCACGCACCCACUACCAAACCAAAGACCCAGAGAAGCGGAAACGGAGCCCCACGGAGGGGGUUAGCAGCCCGGGCAGUAAGGAGAGCCCAUCGGGUCGAAUGGAGAACGCCAGGGCAGCUGGUGUGCUCCUGGUACCCCGUAUCCAAUUGCCACCACCCUCCUCUGGAAAAUCUUCACAGCAUUUUGAUACCCGGAGUCUGAACGAGGAGAAUUUUAUUGCUUCCAUUGAAUUGUGGAGCAAGCACCAGGAUAACAGAAAGCAAAAAGCUUUGGAAAAAGAACAGAGGGCUGAUGGAGCAAAACAGCGUCUGGAAGGUGGAGACACUGAGGAAAAGAAAUCACAGAUCAGUGCUGACAGUGGCCUCAGUGUAACGUCUGGCUCACAGAAGAGUGAUACAGAGUCCGUGGCAAGCUCCGAGCCUCCUGCUCUGACGAGAAGCACCAGCCAGGACUCUGAGGCCAGCACAGUGAGUAACAGCUCAGGUGAGACGCUGGGUGCGGACAGUGACCUGAGCAGCACUGCUGGAGACGGCCUGACAGGAAGACAUGCUCAACAUCUCAACCUGUCCCGGGGCACACUGUCUGACAGCGAGAUUGAGACCAACCCUGCGACCAGCUCUGUGUUUGGCAAGACUCAUAAGCUGAAGCCAGGAGUGAAGGAGCCUCUUGGUGUUAAUAAGGGAGCACCAGCUCCGCCCCUCGAGGAUGUUAGCAUGAGGAUCUAUCUGUGUGAGGGGCUGCUGGGGCGAGAUAAAAGCUCAGUUUGGGACCAACUGGAGGAUGCCGCCAUGGAGACCUUUUCUCUGAGUAAGGAGCGUUCUACUCUGUGGGAUCAGAUGCAGUUCUGGGAGGAUGCCUUCCUGGACGCCGUUAUGUUGGAAAGGGAAGGAAUGGGGAUGGAUCAGGGACCACAAGAAAUGAUUGACAGGUAUCUGUCUCUGGCAGAGCAUGACCGCAAGAGACUGGAGGACGACGAGGACAGACUACUGGCCACUCUUCUGCAUAACAUGAUCGCUUACAUGCUUAUGAUAAAGGUCAAUAAAAAUGACAUCAGGAAGAAGGUACGGCGUCUCAUGGGGAAAUCUCACAUUGGCCUCACACACAGUCAAGAGGUCAAUGAAGUCCUGGACCGCCUCGCACAUUUGAGUGGCCGGGAGCUUCCCAUCAGGCCAAGUGGCAGCCGGCACAUAAAGAAGCAGACAUUCGUUGUGCAUGCUGGGACUGAUACAACUGGUGAUAUAUUUUUCAUGGAGGUGUGUGACGACUGCAUCGUAUUGCGCAGUAACAUCGGCACAGUCUAUGAGCGCUGGUGGUAUGAGAAGCUCAUAAAUAUGACCUACUGUCCCAAGACCAAAGUGUUGUGUCUGUGGAGGAGAAACGGUCAAGAAACACAGCUUAACAAGUUCUACACCAAGAAGUGUCGGGAACUGUACUACUGUGUUAAAGACAGCAUGGAGCGUGCUGCCGCACGACAACAAAGCAUCAAACCAGGUCCAGAGCUGGGAGGCGAGUUUCCAGUACAGGACAUGAAGACAGGGGAGGGUGGUCUCCUUCAGGUCACGCUGGAAGGCAUCAACCUCAAAUUUAUGCACAGCCAGGAGCGGAAGGUUUUCAUAGAGCUGAGUCACAUUAAAAAGUGCAAUACAGUGAAAGGAGUCUUUGUCCUGGAGGAGUUUGGUAAUUACCCCCAUUUUGAUUCUAGGCCUGUACGUGACACAGCAGUAACCCAGUCACAUGAAGAGCAGAUUGAGUUAUCAUGUUCAGUACUGUUAGAUGUGGAGGUCUGUAUGAGCUUUACAGUAGGAACAAAGGUUAUAAAUAAGACAGUAGGGUGUUGUUUUUAGCUGUUGCUCUUGUAAUGCACAGUCUGUGAAUGACAUUAUGAAACGUAUCACCCCAAAAUGAACCAGAUCCUAUCUGCCUGCAGAAUCCUGUUCUCCUUGGGCCGUGGUGUAUUUAUUAUUAAUAUUUUAUUAAUGUUAGAGUAUUGACACCAGAGAUUGUAUAUUUAAGGAUGUAUGCUCAUUUCCUCUAUUUGUACUUUGCCAUCUAGAAAUGCUCACUUAACAUUCAUCUGUAAAAACACAAAUUAUGUAAUAGAAAUAUAGUAAAAUAUAAAAUGUGAUCUUUAAACAAAUAUGCAAUUUUUUUGCAAAUAUGCUUUUAAUUUGCAUGAUCAUUUUUAAAAACAAUUUGAAACAUCUAUUGAAACAAUUGGUUAGAUUUUUUAGAUCUAAAUUUUAGUUAUAUUUAGUCAAAUAUGACAGUUUUAAUGUCAUCUGUUUUUUGGUUAUAAUGUGAAAAUUUCACAGUCUGUUAAAAUAUUGUUUUAUUAUUCACAUAUAACACUGUAUUAUAGAAAGCAUUUAAAUCAAACUUUUCCCUUUUUGUGUUUUCAGUGCAUCUUCAGUUGGCAAGCUAACAGCUUUAUGUAGUGUUAACUGGUUAAGAAAUGCUCGGUUUAUUAGCUAAAAGAAGGAGGAAAAGGAAAAGGAUUCUUCUGGUGGAUAAGGUCUCACACCAUCAGCAGAUUUGAGGAAAUAAUGCACAGUUCAAGUUCUUUUGUGACGAAUUAACUGAUCAGCUAGUUGUUUCCUUUGAUGCAUCUUUUGCAAAGGUUUUCAUCAAGAAUACUGCUUUAAUGAUACUUCAACUGAAAUUGUCAGUCUCCAAAAUAGAAGUCUUUUUUAGAUUUAGAUAAUGAAUAAAACGAGUAAAGAUUUUAGAGACUGGACGUUUUUGCAGAUCUGUAGAGUGAAGGGAGGUGCAGUGUAUGAAGUCUCUUCUGUAGUCAUAGAGUGGGCUCUAGACUGGGUUAGUGCUGUGUCUUUGUGCUUCCUUUUUGUAAUCCGCCCCUCAUCUUGCUGCUAUGAAAACCUUCAUUCUCCAGCAGGUAAAGUGCUGUCACCUUUAUCCUUUCUUCUCUUUCUUAACCUCUCCUCCUCAUGUCAUCAUCUCUCACACAUCCUUUUUCACCACUAAUGGCUGUCGACUGCUCAUCUGCACUGCACUGCCUUGAUGUCACAUGUCACUUCUCCUACACUCGAGUUCAUACACACUCAUGCUUGUAGUAAAAGUCAUACCAUAAGUGAUGGAAAAACCCAGCAGACCCCGGAUUUCCUUACAACUUUAAAAUUCAAUGAUAUUCCCUUUGUUGCUCUCUCUCUCUCUCUCUCUCUCUGAUUUCUCCAUCUAUCCCCCACCACUCUUCCUUUGGCUUUCUUUCUCCUCCUUGAGCCUACCUUGAUUCUGUUCCUCAUUGCACAAGAGUUUCUCAGUCUUGUGGGAAACGUCUACUGAUGAUAAAUCCUGUUCAGUCAUAUGAUCUUUAUGAGUGCUGCUCUUCUGCUGCAAGAUUCAGUGCUCUGUAGCUCUUUCUGAAAUGUGCAGGGGUCAAAUAUAGAUUAUUAAUAUUCAUUUGUCAUGGGCCAUAUGUAUGCCUCCCCUUCUCUCUCUCUCUCUCUCUCUCUCUCUCUCUCUCUGUCUCUCUCUCGCUCUGUCUCUCUCUCUUUCUCUCUCGCUCUGUCUCUCUCUCUCUGUCUCUCUCUCUCUGUCUCUAUCAUUCUUUCUUUCUCCCCGUUUCUGCCCCCUGGCCUUGAAUAUUGAAUAUUUGUUAUUCCACUGCUGUUGAACUUUUAUUUUGUGUCUUGCACUGGGAUUUGCAGUUCCUGAAACUAAAGAAGUGGUGAUCCAUAAGUACAAGACUCCUAUGGCACACCAGAUCUGUUACUCGGUGCUCUGCCUCUUCUCCUACAUGGCGGCGGUCAAGGGGAAAGAGUCAGAGGGCAAGCCCAAGAUGCUGUCCCCUCGUCC